AGAUCUCUUCGUCUCAUAACCAAUCUCACCAGACUACCGGGCAAAAUCCGCUUGUGGCUUUACUACAAGAGAUGCUGAGACGGAAAAUGCAAAAUAAUGGAGUUUAUUUCCCGCACGUCUGUACCGCCUGUUGAAGAAGGACCGCGACCAGAGGAGAUACCGGUGCGGGUAUCAAGCCAACAUUUACCAUGCGCAGCGGGAGUCGUUCUAGAAGGAUUAGGUGACGAUUGCGUUCGAGAUCCGGUUGUUCAACUCUACUACGAUGUGGCCAAUUAUAAGGACCAAGCAGCUGGGCAACUUUUCGGACCUUUCCGCUUUUUCUGCUGGCUAGCAUGUGCACCAAAUUGACAACGAGCAGGAGUUUGAUGUUAUGUGAUAGUGGCAUGUCCCUGACGAUAAUUAUA